rnacentral:lncRNA from 1 species
UCAGAUUUUCUGAGUUCAUCUUUUUAUUUUUUAUUUUUGAAAUUUUCUGCUUUCUUCUCACCUAGACAAAUUGUAGCUUAUUUUCGGACCUGCAACCAUGCCGGUUAGAGCAUUUUGCUGAUCAAAAGAAAAAAAAUGGUUCUAGGUGUCUUGUUUUAGUUGCAAUCCAAGCCACCUGUAUGCCUGCAGUGCAUUUUAUUACAUGGUAAUCUCAUUAAAAUGAUGAUACCUCCUGGUUUUAGAGGUGAGGAGUCAUGGGUUUGCUAAUAAAGAUAUUUUGUUGAUGUGCUAGGGCAAGCUGAUGAGAAUCUGUUUAAAAAGUGAUCAAAUAAAUUUUGAGGGUUCUCUGUUUGUUCUACCUCUCUAUCUCUCUUUUUUCCUUCCCUGAGUGCAUGUACCUUCAGAAGAUUGGUAGUCAGAUAUGUACCUUGUUCUUGACUAGCAUUCACAUUAUUUUUUCAAAUUACAUUUGGAUUAUAUUCCUCGCCAUUUCUACCAGCUUGUUUCCUGUUUUUGAUGCACUGCUACUAUCUAUUGUUACUUGAAUGUCCAUUGUUACUUUUUUGAUGAGUCUGAGACUGGAGCCACUCUAUUUAAAUGCAAGGAUGGACAGAGAGAGGGUAGAGAAGUGGAAGAAGAGAUGAAGGCCUUCUCCAAACUUGCUUACUUUUUGACUGGCACUUCUACUGCUGCACUCAUGGCCAUUUCCUCUGGAUAUCUCGAAGGUCAAACAGGACAUGCCCAUACAGUCGCUCUCAAGGUCUGCACCAUCUUCAUGGUGGUCACCUUCUUAACUGGUUGCAGAAUGCUGUUUCUAAUACUCAGUCGUAGCAGCCACAUCUCUAUUAAAUCCUUCAAAAGCCUCAAGUGGACAGGAUUGUUGUCGCUGAUCCUUUCGGUGUUUAGCGGCGCCAUUCUUUACCUAAAGAUGUUUGCCCUUCUGGCAUUCUUUAUAGCAAUGAUCCUAUUCUUUAUGGCUUGACAUCCAUGCAGUCAUCACCAAGGUAAUAGGGGCAUGUCAUUCAGACGUUUAUCCGAUUUCAUUUGAAACAUUUGGAUGCUGUUUGUUAUGGUUUCCUUACGUGUUGCUCUGGUGUCCUAUUAUUUAGUACUAUUGUUUACCAUUUGGUUAAUGUCAGUUGAGUCAACUACGGGAAUAGUGUUCUGUUAGACAAUUUACGGUCGUGGGUUAGUAUUCUGAUGGUUGUCUAUUUUUCAGCAAGUUUGUUUUUGUUGUUUUCAUUAUGUUGCACGUGGAUUCAUGGCAAUUAUGCCAGUAUUGUAUUUAAGCUGUGUUAACAAUAGAAAAAGGGAGAUUUAAUCACCCAAAUAUUUGGCUUAUUGUGGAGGUCGGGUUUCCUUGAAGAGACCCAAAGUUGUUCGUUGUUCUACUUUGUUUUUCUUACUCUGAUCCAUAUCAUUUGGUAUUAGAGCCUAGUUUCGAUCGACCCCAUGGCUGAAGGCAC